UGUUAUGUGGUUUAGUUGUAAAAAGCGCCUGUCUAGCGAAUACGGAGUCGUGGGUUCGAAACCCAUCAUAACGC
rnacentral:tRNA from 1 species